rnacentral:rRNA from 1 species
UACGGAGGAUCCGAGCGUUAUCCGGAAUUAUUGGGUUUAAAGGGUGCGUAGGCGGGCUAUUAAGUCAGUGGUGAAAUCCUGCAGCUUAACUGCAGAACUGCCGUUGAUACUGAUAGUCUUGAGUUUGGUUAAGGUAGGCGGAAUGUGUAAUGUAGCGGUGAAAUGCUUAGAUAUUACACAGAACACCAAUUGCGUAGGCAGCUUACUGAGCCGACACUGACGCUGAGGCACGAAAGCGUGGGGAUCAAACAGGAUUAGAUA